UACGGAGGAUCCAAGCGUUAUCCGGAAUCAUUGGGUUUAAAGGGUCCGUAGGCGGUUUGGUAAGUCAGUGGUGAAAGCCCUUCGCUCAACGGAGGAACGGCCAUUGAUACUGCCAGACUUGAAUUACUGGGAAGUAACUAGAAUAUGUAGUGUAGCGGUGAAAUGCUUAGAUAUUACAUGGAAUACCAAUUGCGAAGGCAGGUUACUACCAGUGGAUUGACGCUGAUGGACGAAAGCGUGGGGAGCGAACGA
rnacentral:rRNA from 1 species